rnacentral:sRNA from 1 species
CUGAAGGUAGAGCAGUAACUGGUCAGAACUUUACAGUAGUAGUAAGAGUGACCAACACUUUGUCUGUCCCUCUAACUAAUGGAACUAUAUCAGUGGAUGGCCCUGGACUAGUACGAGCCACUGGUAUAAAACUGAAACAUCCAGUGGAGCCAGGGGAGGAAGUGAGAGAAACUAUAACAUUGACUGCUAGACGACCUGGAGUUAAGGAAAUCAUUGCUGUCUUUUACUGUCGACAAAUAUGCAAUGUGGCAGCUGUGGCAGAAAUAGAUUUUGUCAAAGAUGAAAAAAAUUAGUUGUAUUUAUCAUUUACUGUUACUUAUAUUUCAUAACUUGCUUUCAGGUUUCAUUUAAUGUGUUUGUUUUAGUGAAAACAAAAGUUGAAAAGGUCUUUCAAGUACAAGAGAAAGCUCUUACUGAUUCAAGUAUCAGCUCCAUUACUUCAAUGAAUAUAGUAAAUUUAAAACGUUUGUUAGUUCAAAUAAUAAACUGACUCAACUUUAAAAUGAAGAUGAACAUUGUGGAGUCACAUGAUCUGGGACUAGUGAAGGCGUAUGUAAUCUAAAAAUAGUUUAUAAUGUACUGAGAUAAACCUUUAUAAAAGAAUAAACAAUUUGAUAUGUGUAAAACAUAUUAAUCUGAAGAAAUUAUGUUGUUGUUGUUUUUUUCAACAUUUUCUCAACUUAUUUUGAAUAUGAAAUUAAUUUGUGCUCCUUCACUUUGAAAAUAACACAUGCUUUGCUAUUAUUUAUCAAAGUUGUCAUUUAAGAAAAUGUGUUUAUACAUAUUUAUUUAUAGUUUGAACAGAAUAAAUUGUUUGCUCAUGAUAAAUGUAAAAAAAAAUAUUUUUUGUGAAAAUGAUGUUGCUUAAAUUGCUUUCAUUGUUAUAACAUUGAGUUUAUAUUUAAAUUUAGUUCAUUUUUAUUGAUCUAAAAGUUUUAGUGUCAAUUAAGAGUGUAGGUUGUACAAUUGCAUUCUUGCUGGUCAAUGGAGGACAAAUACUAAUGGAUAAAUUUGUUUUUAUUUUACUUUAGAUUAAUCCAAAGUUCAAUGCUAGCAUGCUUUGUGUACAUGUAUUUGUAGACACUUUGUCUAGACUGAUCAGGGUUUAACUAUUAUUCUACUUGCUAUGCUUAAUUGAGAACAUAUAGAAACUAAAUAGAUUUAGUGGGCAAUGAUAUAGUAAGCCUGUUAGAAGAAUGUUUCAAUCAAAAAGAGAUGAAUUGAUAGUUUAAUAGAAUCAGGACUAAUUUUCUCACUGUUAAUGGACCCUCUCUGACCUACUUAUUGUUGCCAGUUUUGUAUCAUUUAUUCUAAUAAAAUAUUGUAAUGGACAUAUUGUUUCAGAUAUUGUCUAACAGUAUUGCAGGUUCUAGUUUGCUUCAAACCUAGAUAGUUUCAUUUCUGAAUUUUUAAAUAGAGAUAUACUUACUAACCUUCCACUGAAACAUAGACAAAUAGUGUUUAGCUAUCUGGGAUCAUUGUUUUAGACGGUAAUAGGACAAAUCUUUCACACAUUUUGCUCACCGUCAAUUCAUUCACAAUUCUUUCACAAUUCUUUCAUCCAACAUUUCAUUCACCAGUUGUUGGUGAAUGAAUUGUCUUUGAAUGAAAUGUCUGUGAACAAUUUGUUGUUGAACUGUUUUAGUUACUUCUUGCACAUCUUGGAUGAACACAUCUGUUGUAUUCUAUCUAGUUAGAGUCAUGUCAAUAGUUUUGUGAAGACUUUUUCACAAAUUUUGGUGUGUGCUUUAAACAAAUUUGUGUAAAAAUAGAUUAUAAAUCAGACUUUUUUUCAGUCACUGUCAAUAGUUUUUAGAUAAACAUAUUUCAUUGAUGUAAAAAUUAAAUAUAAUAUAUACUCUUAA